GCUAAGUUAGUUUAUUUUAGAAUUUGUAACUUGUAAUUACAGGGAUAUAUUUAGUA
rnacentral:tRNA from 1 species